rnacentral:lncRNA from 1 species
CACUAGUUGAGCGGUGAACAAAGGCUACAUCUCCUGGUAGCUGUUAAAUAAAUGCAGCAGUACAUCAAGAAUCAAUUAUUUCUUAGAGGGGCCCAUAGAUGUUAUUUGGGGAGAGGCCUCUGGAGCAAGUGAGGAGUAGCCAUUCCGUGAGACUGUGGAGUCUACAGAAUUUAGCAGCUAUGACUCAGGCAGAGGCAGUGGCUGCUAAGAUUAUCAGGAAGCUGGACAAACACUUGACAAAGGAAAAAAAGCUGCUGGCUGUAUUAGCCAGGGCACCUGCAGGAGACAGCAGGUACAUUCCAGAAGGGAUCCACGAAACUCAACCCACCAAGAGCCAAAGCUCAGGAGCCUCCUCAGGAAAUGGAAGACUCAGACAAAACAACACCUUGUUUCCAAGGAGGGAGGUAGAGACAGGUGGGGCAGCACAAGUCUCCCAAGGGAAAGGAUUGUUCAGAGAACUAGGAAAGGCAACCAGCAGAAACCCCAAGAGUUGGAAAUUCUCUUCCAGGGAGGAACCAGUGGGCAACAGGCCUUAAGAAGCUGGUGUGGUACCACAGACAAAUCCCACCGCAUGAUUUAAGCCCCAGUAAAAGCAAAUUCACAAAAAAC